GACUGCUCUGGGGUCCAGACUGCGGAGCGUCCAGCCCGGGACAGGCUGGUUCACCUGCUGUUCACUGUUGGGAAUCAGGGCUCAUGGCUCCGCCCAGUGCAGCCCUAAAGCAGGCCUUCUACUGCACAAGAGGGCUGCUCGACACUCGUCUAUUUUCUUUUCUUUCGCUGAAGACUAAAAGACUUGAAGAACCGUACACAGGCCUACUGCUUCAAUGAAAGUCCCUCCAAAACGGCCCAGUUGUCACUAGAGACAGGUGCCAUUCCUUGAAGUCACGUGUUGGGCGCUGUGGUCAAGGAAACAAAACCAAGACCCCAAACAUCAGUUUUGGGGAGCUGUCCAUGAGCAUCAGAGUCUUAACGCCAACCCAGCCAGACCACCAGGGAGCAGCCUGUAGUUUGAAAAAUCCAGACGAACUGAAACAGUCGGAUUAAUUGUGCUGAUGCUGUGGGGAGGGCCCCCAAGGAGGCUGCGCGAGGCUGGAUACAGGCAGGAGGGAGGCGUCUUUUGAAAGGUGAGGUGAAUCCUAGGAUCCUGGAAUUUCAGGAUGGGAACUGAGGCUCAGGGAGAGCACGCUGGCCAAGGACGCAGUGCUGCAGGCGUGAGAGCAGGGGAGGAAGACAUCACACACAAUAUGUCCAGCAUGUGCAGACUUACCACCUGCACUUAUUGCUUCAUUCUCACCAGAAUCCCCAGAAGCUGGAGCCCCAAGAACCACUGAAGAGUUUGGAAUCUGUCCAGCAGGAAAGAGGGGCUCGCUGCAUGCUGGAUCCCACAGCCUGAUCUGUGUCCUGAUCCUAUCUCAGAGCACAGAUCCCUUCCUGGAUCCCCCAGUCUGUUCUGUGUCCUGAUCCUCUUCUCAGAGUACCGAUCCUGUCUGGAUCCCACACCUGGAUCUGUGUCCUGAUCUCAUCUCAGAGCACAGACUCUGUCCUGGAUCCCACACUCUGAUCUGUGUCCUGAUCCCAUCUCAGAGCACAGACCCUGUCCUGGAUCCCACAUUUUGAUCUGUGUCCUCAUCCCAUCUCAGAGUAUAGAUCCCUUCCUGGAUCCCACACCUGGAUCUGUGUCCUGAUCUGAUCUCAGAGCACAGACUCUGUCCUGGAUCUCAUACUCUGAUUUGUGUCCUGAUCCCAUCUCAGAGCACAGACCCUGUCCUGGAUCCCCUACUCUAAUCUGUGUCCUGAUCCUCUUCUCAGAGUAUAGAUCCCCUCCUGGAUCCCACACCCUGAUCCGUCUCCUGAUCCCGCCUCAGAGCACAGAUUGCUUCCGGGGUCCCACACCCUGAUCUGUGUCCUGAAACUCCCCUCAGAGAGCAGCCCUGUCCUGGCCCCUCCACCUCCAUCCAGCCUGCCCGCUCCAGUGCAGUUUGUCUUACAACCAUGGAGUCCCUACCGGGGGUGCUCCCUUCGGUCGGUCCCAAGAGCAAUGAAGUCUCAUUUCUGCCCCUUGCUGUGUAAGUUACCCAGGUGCUGGAGGCAGUGCAUAAGGUUCUCUGUGCAUGAUACAGUGACACACGCCUGGCUCACAUGGAUCAGACACAACUCACCUGAGGGUCCCAGCACAGAGCCAGAGAUGCUCAACAGGCACGAUUCUGCAGUCCCUUUCCUCCUCAAUUAGCUGCAGGUGAGCUUUUAAACUUUUUAGGGUUUAACACCUCUUAUUUUAGUGUAUCUCAGGUACUUUUCUGCUUUCGAACGCUGGAUGCCACCACAUAUUUUUGCUCUAAACAUGAAGACUUCUCAAUUAUUCCUCUUUCCUCGAACACUCCAGGUACUUUCACUAAAUCUUUUAAACAUCACAUGACCUAUUCCAGGAAUUUCCCGACACUCUCCAACUACUGGUCCUUCCAAUUUUUCCAAUCUCCCUUCACCCCCAUUCCCUCAGCUCAGUUUACUUCAUGUGCAAAUCGGGGGGGCAGUGAGGGUGCUGAAUGGGUAGAAAUGUGCCCCCCAAAAGAUAUGUCUAAGUCCUCAUCUCUAAUUCCUGGGAAUGUGACCUUAUUUGAAAAUAGGGUCUUUGCAGACGUAAACAAGUUAAGACCAGGUCAUACUGAAUUAGCGUGAGCCUGAAAUCCAGUGAUGGGUGUCUUUGUAAGCAGGCCAUGUGAAGAUGGACAUGCAGGAUGAAGGCCAUGUGGCUACAGAGACAGAGAUUGGAAUGAUGUGUUUACGAGGCCAGGACCACUGUAAUUGCUGGCCAUCAGCGGAAGCCAAGAGAAGGCAGGAAGGAUUUUCCCCAGGAGUCUUCAGAGAGCCUGGUCCUGCUGAUGCCUUGAUUUCAGACUCUGGCUCCCAGAACUGUGAGAGAAUAAACUCCUGUUGUUUCAGGUCACCCAGUUUGUGGCAAUUUGUUACAGCAGCCCCUGGACUAACACAGGCCUGGAAACACCCAUGAACACCCACCACAAACUUGGCCUGAAUGUUAGGAAACACAUUGCAACGUUACUUCUCUGCUUGUUUUAUAAUGAUUAUUUCCAGUCUCUUGUUCAGUCUCUUGUAGAUAAAUUUGAGACCCUUCAAUGAGAACUGGGACUUGUCAGCUCCAGCUUUUUCCUGCCCUUUCUCUGCCACACCUGACUGGUCAAAUUGACAAGGUCCCCCCAUCUCCUCCUUUGCAUUCUGCUGGUCUAUGGUGCGUCGUCUCCUUGGAGUACUGAGAUAAUUACCAACAGAUGCUGUCCUAAUCUUUCUCCUCUUUGAGUUAAUUCAAUUUAGCAUUUACUGGGUGUCCACUCAGAGCAGCCUGGCUCAAGGGUGAGCAGGCGGUGCUUAUUCUGGAAGACCUGAAACCUCAUAGACCCAACCAAAGAUGAAUUAAGUGAACAAAGGACUGUUAUGCAAAGAGGAAAGCAACACCCUUUCUGGGAGAGGAGCAAAAUGUGUCCCAGGCGAGGCCCUGAGGCCCCACUGGAGGACAGGUAUGCAGAAGCCUCAUCCCUGCAGAGGUGUUCACUGC